UUUUUUUUCAACUUAAGUAUUUGUUUUCCCUAAAUGUAAAAUGUAAAACAUGAUUUUGUCUUGAAACUUCCUUUUUUUUCCCUUUCUGUACUGUUGUUUUCUUUUCUACUUUAAGAAAACAACAGUUUAGCUGCAGCAGAAAACUGUCAUGAAACAGGGACAUCAUGAUGUCAGCACAGUGCUAAAGGAGUAGUAAAGCUAUUUUUGCAUUUCCAGUGAAAUUAAACAACCAGUUUGGAGGGACAAAUGCAAUUUCAAAUUGAUAGAAUCCACAAAGUAAACUGCCAUCACUGAAGGAUAAAUGAGAUUUCUUUGAAACAGCAUCUUACAGCUCAAAUGCAUUUUUUAUUGUGUAGGUGACCUAUUCAAAUCCAAGACUACAUGUUUUUUGGCUGUACCAUCCCAUGAAAAGAAAAUAUGUUUGAAGUCUUGUCCAUCCUUCAUCCUGAGACAUUUGGUAAAGUUAAAAUCUUUCUCCAAUCAUUGAUGAAACCACUAAAAACUCAUCUCUUUGUAUCAAAGUUACAUAUAUGAAAACUUUUUCCAUGAAAACGCAUAAUUUGCUUUGUUUUAAAUGGUUUAGAUGUAACUCUACUCUUUCCUACAAUGUAUGGUUCUAUGAAGUCUCUGUCUUUCUACAUUUUUUUCAGCCUUUAUUUAACCAGAUUAAAAAAAAAAAAAACCAUUUAAAAUCACCUGCAGGAGCACACUGGAUGAUGCUAGUGUGGCAACACCAUCCAGUUUGCUAGCAGAGGUCCAGGCUGGAGCAGGUGGAAGGCCAGGCUGAGGCUAGCAGAGGUCCAGGCUGGAGAAGGUGGAAGGCCAGGCUGAAGCUAGCAGGCUGUGGAAGGCCAGGCUGAAGCUAGCAGGCUGUGGAAGCCCAGGCUGAAGCUAGCAAAAGUCCAGGCUGUAGCAGGAGGAAUGCCGGUAGAUUUUAAAGUCCAUAAAAGCAGUCGGGAAAGCUCCUUUUGGAUGUGAAAGUAAAGCUUCCUUGGACAACUGUUUAGCUUAAAACUGACUAAAAACACACUAAAACAGAUGUGAAUUCAGAGCACACUGACAAGCAGACAAACAAAGGACAGUGCUGGCGGCCAUCUUCUCCACUUAAUGCAGCCCGUGCACACCAGCUUACCUACAACUCUGCUCAAGCGCUGUAUAACUACCCAAUGCAAUACACAUACUAACUGGAUGCUGAUUCUGAACAAAGCUCUGUUACGGUUGGCUACUUAUGUCUGUUACAUCUAAAACUCUGGACGUUUGAAUCUGUGUUUUUGAGAAAGUUAUCAGAAUACUGCAGUUUCAAGGUGGAAAUAUUCAGUCAUGGCAUUGGCUGCUUAUUUCAUACAUGAUAUGUCUGGCAUUUUAAAAAAUGCUACAUAGACUUUUUGUCAUUAGAAAAGGUCUAAAAAUGCUUUGAUCCCCAGAACAUUUUAAAAUAAAGCUAUGAGGCUUUGACUAGACUGCAUGAGUUUGUGCUGAUUGUUG
ensembl:lncRNA